GACAGAGGUGCCAAGCGUUAGGCGGAAUCACUGGCUUAAAGCGUGUGUAGGUGGAAGCGUAAGUACCUUGUGAAAUCCCACGGCUCAACCGUGGAACUGCUUGGUAUACUGCGUUUCUUGAGCCAACUAGGGGCUAUCGGAACAAGUGGUGGAGCGGUGAAAUGCGUAGAUAUCACUUGGAACGCCAAUGGUGAAAACAGAUAGCUGGGGUUGUGCUGACACUGAGACACGAAAGCCAGGGGAGCAAACGGG
rnacentral:rRNA from 1 species